rnacentral:rRNA from 1 species
GACGAACGCUGGCGGCGUGCCUAAUACAUGCAAGUCGAGCGAGCGGAACCGACAGAUCUACUUCGGUAACGACGUUGGGAAAGCGAGCGGCGGAUGGGUGAGUAACACGUGGGUAACCUGCCCAAGAGACUGGGAUAACAUUUGGAAACAGAUGCUAAUACCGGAUAAGAAAGCAGAUCGCAUGAUCAGCUUAUAAAAGACGGAUUUCUGUCACUCUUGGAUGGACCUGCGGUGCAUUAGCUAGUUGGUAAGGUAACGGCUUACCAAGGCGACGAUGCAUAGCCGAGUUGAGAGACUGAUCGGCCACAUUGGGACUGAGACACGGCCCAAACUCCUACGGGAGGCAGCAGUAGGGAAUCUUCCACAAUGGACGCAAGUCUGAUGGAGCAACGCCGCGUGAGUGAAGAAGGUUUUCGGAUCGUAAAGCUCUGUUAUUGGUGAAGAAAGAUAGAGGUAGUAACUGGCCUUUAUUUGACGGUAAUCAACCAGAAAGUCACGGCUAACUACGUGCCAGCAGCCGCGGUAAUGCGUAGGUGGCAAGCGUUGUCCGGAUUUAUUGGGCGUAAAGCGAGUGCAGGCGGUUCAAUAAGUCUAAUGUGAAAGCCUUCGGCUUAACCGGAGAAUUGCAUCGGAAACUGUUGAACUUGAGUGCAGAAGAGGAGAGUGGAACUCCAUGUGUAGCGGUGGAAUGCGUAGAUAUAUGGAAGAACACCAGUGGCGAAGGCGGCUCUCUGGUCUGUAACUGACGCUGAGGCUCG